CGCACGGGCCCAUGGCGGGCGUUUCCUCCCUUGACUUCAAAGCCCCGCGCGCACGUCGCCGCGGGGCCUUUUUUCAGCAUGC
rnacentral:sRNA from 1 species